CCAAAACUUCCUCUUCCUCUAUAACUACCACUAUAACCUCCCCGUACUCUUCUCUCUCCUUGUCUAUUAUUUUCAUAAUGCUCUCUUUGUGGACACUCAUUCUUCCAAUGUCCUUCCUCUCUACAAAACGCACAUCGAUUCCUACUUAAAGUUCCCUUACUUUCUCGACUCCUUUAUUCACCUCCCUUCCCUGUCUUUCUACACUUGUGAUAGCUACCGCUUGUGAUAGCUACCGCUAGCAUAUCUGCCUUCUUCCUCAUUUUACGUUCUUCCUCCCG